CAGUCGCCACGGGAAUACAGAGGGUGCAAGCGUUAAUCGGAAUUACUGGGCGUAAAGCGCGCGUAGGUGGUUUGUUAAGUUGGAUGUGAAAUCCCCGGGCUCAACCUGGGAACUGCAUCCAAAACUGGCAAGCUAGAGUAUGGUAGAGGGUGGUGGAAUUUCCUGUGUAGCGGUGAAAUGCGUAGAUAUAGGAAGGAACACCAGUGGCGAAGGCGACCACCUGGACUGAUACUGACACUGAGGUGCGAAAGCGUGGGGAGCAAACAGGAUUAGAUACCCGCGUAGUCCCUGUCUCUUAUAC
rnacentral:rRNA from 1 species